CGCCCUAGAGCCUUUCCCCUAUAACAGUGAAAUCAACAAUGACUGUGUCAGGAGAGAUCUUUAACUUAUUAUUUAUUACAAGAUAUUCUAAUGUUUAAAGAGCAAUCCAACAUAAAUGAAGAGAACAUAAGAAACAGCAUACACAAUACUGGACAUCACAGGACCCUCUCUGGCUGGAUACCAGGCUGUGGAACCACCAGAUGCUUCAGAUGAGAAAGGUUGGAUCUGUUUCACAGGGAAGGGGCUAAACUAUUUCAAGAAGCGACCACACGCUGGGCACUCUGUACUUUGCAACCUACCAAGUAUCAUCACAAGAGCUAUGAAAGUGAAGAGAGACAUACGUUAUCUAAGAAUCUCAGAGAGAUGACUCAGUCAGCAUCCUCUCUUGGUGUACAAUGGUAGGGACAGCUACUGUGUCAUCUGGAGCAUGACAAUGAGAACACAGACACUGGAUCGUCCUGAUAUAGCCUGCAGUCCAUCUGGGCCUCUAGACAUUCAUUUGCAUUUGCAUUCAUGCGCAUCCCCUACUACUCCAACUCCUACACCUUUUGGCAGGAUAUAUCCACACAGCUGGAUUGGAAUCACAAGAUGUUUUUAUUUUUUGCCUCAUUAAACUAGUUUCUCUCAA
rnacentral:antisense_RNA from 1 species